AGUAGUUCAGCUGGUUAGAGCGUCGGAUUGUGGUUCCGAAGGUCGUGGGUUCGAAUCCCACCU
rnacentral:tRNA from 1 species